AUUGCUACAAAAAGCGGAACUAGACUAUGAAGUUACUGUUCGUGGUGGUACUGGGGGAGAUUCGGUUAGCGAACUUCGGAAACAGAUAGUUAAAUUACCUCCUAUAUUACAAAUAACAAACUUAUAAUUUUAAUCGUAUCUAUUCCAAACAUUAAAAUCACUACACUAAACCUAAAAUUAUUUCUAAUAGAACCCCACAAGACAGUCACAAUCUAUUCGUUAAUAAAAUCGUACAUGAAGUAUUUUAAACUAUUAAAUAAAUUAACUAUAAAGCAUAACUUAAACUAAUUUCAUCAAAAUGUUACUACGGUUAGGUAAAGUAAAUUAGAUAUGUAAAGUAUUUUCAAUUUUUAAUACCUACUUCAACUUCGUUGAUUAUAGCUAAAUAUACGUAAUUUUAAACAAAUUUUAAAAAGUCAACUAAAACUAGAUGCACUACAUGUAACUAAAACAAAUAAAUAAUGUAAACUAAACUUAAUAAUAUAAACUAAAAAACUAAACUAAAUAAUGUAAAGUACCCACUUACUACUACUACCCAUAACUAUUGCUUUUCUAUUUUCCAAUUAUUGGUCUACCCCAAUAGCUUAUAUGAUGAUGGUCUACCCCAUACAUCAUAUUCCUACCAUAUUAAAUAUAUUAUGACUAUCGGCCCUACACCGAUGGUUAUAAACGAAACUUGAUCGUGGUUCUACCCCAUAGAUCCCUUCUGUAUGCUAAAGGCCCUACACCUUUGGUAUUCUACGGAGCGGUGCAACUCCUUAAAUAAGCCUUUGCAAGAGCGGUUGAUUACUCUAUAAGUAAGCCUUAAAAUCACAAAUAUAACUUAUGUAUUUAUCCUUUCUAAUAUUCAAUCUAUCAAUAAUAGUUAUGUGUAGUUAGUAAUCGCUCAAUUUCAGCUUUAUCCUCUACCAGCCAUGACUGAACUGGGUGAGUGUUCUGUGCACUAUAGGCAGAAUACUCAGGUCGAAAGGACGCUGACGCACAGAUGUCUAGUGUGAUGUCGGCUAUUUAAUGUAAGGAAGAAUGAAAGGUGAGGGAUGAUUACAUUAUGAAUGAAGACGAAUGAAAGAGAAACUUAGAUCAGUUGUUAGCAAGAGCGAAAGCAGCGGAUUUUUCCUAGGAAAAAUCCUACGCUAAAAAGGGGGGUACUGUAACGUUGUACGUUAUAUUUUGAAUAUUUAAAAAUACUAGACUUGCUAUAUCUCGGCCGCGCGCCGCGAGCCGUGAGCCGUUGACGGGUGACGGAAACCGGUUCGGCGAACUAUCCCUCCUAUGAGGCGACGCGAGCAGAGCCGGCGGUCAAUCGCGAGACGGUCACUAGCACGACGCCGCGAGCCGAUACAGUCUACUACUACUACUGGUCUAUGUACAUUUUUAACUCGCGAUUUUUAUUGCAAAUAAAUUAACCUUUAAUAAACUAUUGUGCUUUUAAAAUAACUUUUAAAGUCAGUGUAUACCCCAGAUCGGGGUUCAAGUACCUGACUACCUCCAGUGCACCUACCGUAGUGCACCUACCCUAAGUGCACCUACCUACGCGCCUGUCUACCUACGUGGCUGUGUCUACCUACGUGCCUCUGCCUACCUACGUGCCUGUGCCUACCUGCGUGCCGCGCCUAUCUACGUGUCCUGCAUCUACCUACGCGUCCGGCAUCUACUAGCGCGCUGCACACCUACCCCGCCUGACCGCUGCCGAGCUGCCUGACUAUACAGGAUAGUGGUGUUUCUAUAGCGGGCUGGAACUUAACGCGUGCUCGAUAUUUCUAAACUCACUCCCGGCUCUGCCGAUAUCUUUUUAUAGAAUAUAGACUUAUACUAAAUUACUA